rnacentral:rRNA from 1 species
UACGAAGGGGGCUAGCGUUGCUCGGAAUCACUGGGCGUAAAGCGCACGUAGGCGGAUUGUUAAGUCAGGGGUGAAAUCCUGGAGCUCAACUCCAGAACUGCCUUUGAUACUGGCAACCUAGAGACUGGAAGAGGUUAGUGGAAUUCCCAGUGUAGAGGUGAAAUUCGUAGAUAUUGGGAAGAACACCAGUGGCGAAGGCGGCUAACUGGUCCAUGCA